rnacentral:rRNA from 1 species
GACGAACGCUGGCGGCGUGCUUAACACAUGCAAGUCGAACGGAAAGGCCCUGCUUUUGUGGGGUGCUCGAGUGGCGAACGGGUGAGUAACACGUGAGUAACCUGCCCUUGACUUUGGGAUAACUUCAGGAAACUGGGGCUAAUACCGGAUAGGAGCUCCUGCUGCAUGGUGGGGGUUGGAAAGUUUCGGCGGUUGGGGAUGGACUCGCGGCUUAUCAGCUUGUUGGUGGGGUAGUGGCUUACCAAGGCUUUGACGGGUAGCCGGCCUGAGAGGGUGACCGGCCACAUUGGGACUGAGAUACGGCCCAGACUCCUAAGGGAGGCAGCAGUGGGGAAUAUUGCACAAUGGGCGGAAGCCUGAUGCAGCAACGCCGCGUGCGGGAUGACGGCCUUCGGGUUGUAAACCGCUUUCGCCUGUGACGAAGCGUGAGUGUCGGUAAUGGGUAAAGAAGCACCGGCUAACUACGUG